GGCUCAGGAUGAACGCUGGCGGCGUGCCUAAUACAUGCAAGUCGAACGCACUUUCGUUGAAUGAAUUAGAGGUGCUUGCACCGAAGAUGAUUUUAGCUAUAAAGUGAGUGGCGAACGGGUGAGUAACACGUGGGUAACCUGCCCAGAAGUGGGGGAUAACACCUGGAAACAGAUGCUAAUACCGCAUAACAAAGUAAACCGCAUGGUUUACUUUUAAAAGAUGGCUUCGGCUAUCACUUCUGGAUGGACCCGCGGCGUAUUAGCUAGUUGGUGAGAUAAAGGCUCACCAAGGCAGUGAUACGUAGCCGACCUGAGAGGGUAAUCGGCCACAUUGGGACUGAGACACGGCCCAGACUCCUACGGGAGGCAGCAGUAGGGAAUCUUCCACAAUGGACGAAAGUCUGAUGGAGCAACGCCGCGUGAGUGAUGAAGGCUUUAGGGUCGUAAAACUCUGUUGUUGGAGAAGAACGUGUGUGAGAGUAACUGCUCAUGCAGUGACGGUAUCCAACCAGAAAGCCACGGCUAACUACGUGCCAGCAGCCGCGGUAAUACGUAGGUGGCAAGCGUUAUCCGGAUUUAUUGGGCGUAAAGCGAGCGCAGGCGGUCUUUUAAGUCUAAUGUGAAAGCCUUCGGCUUAACCGAAGAAGUGCAUUGGAAACUGGAAGACUUGAGUGCAGAAGAGGACAGUGGAACUCCAUGUGUAGCGGUGAAAUGCGUAGAUAUAUGGAAGAACACCAGUGGCGAAGGCGGCUGUCUGGUCUGUAACUGACGCUGAGGCUCGAAAGCAUGGGUAGCGAACAGGAUUAGAUAC
rnacentral:rRNA from 1 species